rnacentral:rRNA from 1 species
AGGCUUUGAUCCUGGCUCAGGAUGAACGCUGGCGGUGUGCCUAAUACAUGCAAGUCGAGCGAUUUUUUUUGAGAAGAGCGGCGGAUGGGUGAGUAAUGUGUGGGUAACCUGCCCUGUACACACGGAUAACAUACCGAAAGGUAUGCUAAUACGGGAUAACAUAUUUUGAUGGCAUCAUCGAAAUAUCAAAGCUCCGGCGGUACAGGAUGGACCCGCGUCUGAUUAGCUAGUUGGUGAGGUAAUGGCUCACCAAGGCGACGAUCAGUAGCCGACCUGAGAGGGUGAUCGGCCACAUUGGAACUGAGACACGGUCCAAACUCCUACGGGAGGCAGCAGUGGGGAAUAUUGCACAAUGGGCGAAAGCCUGAUGCAGCAACGCCGCGUGAGCGAUGAAGGCCUUCGGGUCGUAAAGCUCUGUCCUCAAGGAAGAUAAUGACGGUACUUGAGGAGGAAGCCCCGGCUAAAA